AUUGAACGCUGGCGGCAGGCCUAACACAUGCAAGUCGAACGGUAACAGGAAGAAGCUUGCUUCUUUGCUGACGAGUGGCGGACGGGUGAGUAAUGUCUGGGAAACUGCCUGAUGGAGGGGGAUAACUACUGGAAACGGUAGCUAAUACCGCAUAACGUCGCAAGACCAAAGAGGGGGACCUUCGGGCCUCUUGCCAUCGGAUGUGCCCAGAUGGGAUUCGCUAGUAGGUGGGGUAACGGCUCACCUAGGCGACGAUCCCUAGCUGGUCUGAGAGGAUGACCAGCCACACUGGAACUGAGACACGGUCCAGACUCCUACGGGAGGCAGCAGUGGGGAAUAUUGCACAAUGGGCGGAAGCCUGAUGCAGCCAUGCCGCGUGUAUGAAGAAGGCCUUCGGGUUGUAAAGUACUUUCAGCGGGGAGGAAGGGAGUAAAGUUAAUACCUUUGCUCAUUGACGUUACCCGCAGAAGAAGCACCGGCUAACUCCGUG
rnacentral:rRNA from 1 species